rnacentral:rRNA from 1 species
GCUUGCAUCUUGAUUUAAUUUUGAACGAGUGGCGGACGGGUGAGUAACACGUGGGUAACCUGCCCUUAAGUGGGGGAUAACAUUUGGAAACAGAUGCUAAUACCGCAUAAAUCCAAGAACCGCAUGGUUCUUGGCUGAAAGAUGGCGUAAGCUAUCGCUUUUGGAUGGACCCGCGGCGUAUUAGCUAGUUGGUGAGGUAACGGCUCACCAAGGCAAUGAUACGUAGCCGAACUGAGAGGUUGAUCGGCCACAUUGGGACUGAGACACGGCCCAAACUCCUACGGGAGGCAGCAGUAGGGAAUCUUCCACAAUGGACGCAAGUCUGAUGGAGCAACGCCGCGUGAGUGAAGAAGGCUUUCGGGUCGUAAAACUCUGUUGUUGGAGAAGAAUGGUCGGCAGAGUAACUGUUGUCGGCGUGACGGUAUCCAACCAGAAAGCCACGGCUAACUACGUGCCAGCAGCCGCGGUAAUACGUAGGUGGCAAGCGUUAUCCGGAUUUAUUGGGCGUAAAGCGAGCGCAGGCGGUUUUUUAAGUCUGAUGUGAAAGCCCUCGGCUUAACCGAGGAAGUGCAUCGGAAACUGGGAAACUUGAGUGCAGAAGAGGACAGUGGAACUCCAUGUGUAGCGGUGAAAUGCGUAGAUAUAUGGAAGAACACCAGUGGCGAAGGCGGCUGUCUGGUCUGUAACUGACGCUGAGGCUCGAAAGCAUGGGUAGCGAACAGGAUUAGAUACCCUGGUAGUCCAUGCCGUAAACGAUGAAUGCUAGGUGUUGGAGGGUUUCCGCCCUUCAGUGCCGCAGCUAACGCAUUAAGCAUUCCGCCUGGGGAGUACGACCGCAAGGUUGAAACUCAAAGGAAUUGACGGGGGCCCGCACAAGCGGUGGAGCAUGUGGUUUAAUUCGAAGCAACGCGAAGAACCUUACCAGGUCUUGACAUCUUUUGAUCA